rnacentral:rRNA from 1 species
CCUACGGGAGGCAGCAGUGAGGAAUAUUGGUCAAUGGCCGGAAGGCUGAACCAGCCAUGCCGCGUGAAGGUCAGUGCCCUAUGGGCGUUAAACUUCUUUUGUGCGGGAGCAAUAAUGGUCACGUGUGGCCAGACGAGAGUACCGUACGAAUAAGCAUCGGCUAACACCGUGCCCGCCGCCGCGGUAAUACGGGGGAUGCAAGCGUUAUCCGGAUUUAUUGGGUUUAAAGGGUGCGUAGGCUGUGCGGUAAGUCAGCGGUGAAAUGCCCCCGCUCAACGGGGUGAAGUGCCAUUGAUACUGCCUGGCUGGAGUGCGGAUGCGGUGGGAGGAAUGUGUGGUGUAGCGGUGAAAUGCAUAGAUAUCACACAGAACACCGAUUGCGAAGGCAUCUCACGAAUCCGCGAUUGACGCUGAUGCACGAAAGCGUGGGUAUCAAACAGGAUUAGAUACCCGAGUAGUC